CUCAAAGGAAUUGACGGGGACCCGCACAAGCGGUGGAUGAUGUGGAUUAAUUCGAUGCAACGCGAAGAACCUUACCUGGUCUUGACAUGUACGGAAUCUCUUAGAGAUAGGAGAGUGCCUUCGGGAACCGUAACACAGGUGCUGCAUGGCUGUCGUCAGCUCGUGUCGUGAGAUGUUGGGUUAAGUCCCGCAACGAGCGCAACCCUUGUCAUUAGUUGCCAUCAUUAAGUUGGGCACUCUAAUGAGACUGCCGGUGACAAACCGGAGGAAGGUGGGGAUGACGUCAAGUCCUCAUGGCCCUUAUGACCAGGGCUUCACACGUCAUACAAUGGUUGGUACAGAGGGUAGCGAAGCCGCGAGGUGAAGCCAAUCUCAGAAAGCCGAUCGUAGUCCGGAUUGCACUCUGCAACUCGAGUGCAUGAAGUCGGAAUCGCUAGUAAUCGCAGGUCAGCAUACUGCGGUGAAUACGUUCCCGGGUCUUGUACACACCGCCCGUCACACCAUGGGAGUGGGGGAUACCAGAAUUGGGUAGACUAACCGCAAGGAGGUCGCUUAACACGGUAUGCUUCAUGACUGGGGUGAAGUCGUAACAAGGUAGCCGUAGGGGAACCUGCGGCUGGAUCACCUCCUUUCUAGA
rnacentral:rRNA from 1 species